GCGGUCUGAAGUUCACUUCAGUAGGAUAUUCAGUCUAUCCAGGCGAUAACACACAGCAUUGCAUUCCAUCAAUUCCCUUGCGGUUUCUUUGAGGUAGAGGAGCAGGACAGCGCGCCCCGCCCCGGCUGCCGCUCCUCGCCUCGCCCGCCCGCAGCUCGGGUCCGCUCGGCUCCGCUCGGCUCCGCCCGGCUCCGCUGCACCAGUCGCGGUGGAGGGGGCUGGCGCACAGAGCAGCCCCUGUGGCCUAAUGGAUAAGGCGUCGGUCUCCUAAACCGAAGAUUGAGGGUUCGAGUCCCUCCAGGGGAAUUCGGCCCAGAAAUGUUCUUGACACGAGCAAGAGAAGUCUAUGGAGUCAUUUUACCCAAAAGAAUAGGUGAGUUGACAUGACAGUAAUCACCAACGCUGGUCUAAUUUGUCUCUGUACAGACACCAUAAGGAGCUUCCUUUCAUGUGCAGCAAAGGGUAGUUUUUGAUGUUUUUUGUGGUGCCUUGGUUCUUUGUUGUCUAUUUCAAUUCUCCUCCAUCA